rnacentral:lncRNA from 10 species
GAGACCAUCCUGGCUAACACGGUGAAACCCUGUCUCUGCUAAAAACACAAAAAAAUUAGCUGGGCGUGGUGGCGGGCGCCUGUAGUCCCAGCUACUUGGGAGGCUGAGGGAGGAGAAUGGCGUGAACCCAGGAGGUAGAGCUUGCAGUGAGCCUAGAUCACGCCACUGCACUCCAGCUUGGGCGACAGAGCAAGACUCCGUCUCAAAAAAAAAAAAAAGUACUCAAGUAGUUUCAGGGGAGGAGUUAAGCUUUUAUUUUUAGAAAAUCUAGGUGCAACCAGGCCAGGUGCAAUGGCUCACGCCUGUAAUCCUAGCACUUUGGGAGGCCAAGGCGGGUGGAUUGCCUGAGCUCAAGAAUUCGAGACCAGCCUGGGCAACAUGGUGAAACGGCCUUCAGAGAAACAGAACAAAUAGGAUGGAUGGAUAGAUAGAUACAUGUAUAGAAAGACAGACAGACAGAAGAUACAUAGAUAGAUGACAGACAGAGACAGACAGACAGAUAGGGAGAUAGACACAGACAGACAGACAGACAGAUGGAUAGAGUUCCGCCCUGGACUGUGUCCUCCCCAAAUUCAUAGGUUGAAGCCCUAACCCCAGUGUGUUUGUAUUUGGAGAUAGGGCCCUGAGGGGCGUGAUUAAGAGUAAAUGAAAUCCUAAGGGUGGGGCUCUAACCCAACAGGACUGCGGUCCUUGUAAGAAGAGGAAGAGGCACCAAGAGAUCUCUUGCUCUGCAGGUACACAGAAGAAAGGCCAUGUGAGGACACAGCGAGAAGCAAGUAUCUGCAAGUCAAGAAGAAAGGCCUCAACAGACACCAGCCCUGCCAGCACCUUGAUCUUGGACUUCUGGCCUCCAGAACUG